rnacentral:rRNA from 1 species
UCGAACGAUGACCACUUCGGUGGGGAUUAGUGGCGAACGGGUGAGUAACACGUGGGCAAUCUGCCCUUCACUCUGGGACAAGCCCUGGAAACGGGGUCUAAUACCGGAUAACACUCCCUCCCUCCUGGGUGGGGGUUGAAAGCUCCGGCGGUGAAGGAUGAGCCCGCGGCCUAUCAGCUUGUUGGUGAGGUAAUGGCUCACCAAGGCGACGACGGGUAGCCGGCCUGAGAGGGCGACCGGCCACACUGGGACUGAGACACGGCCCAGACUCCUACGGGAGGCAGCAGUGGGGAAUAUUGCACAAUGGGCGAAAGCCUGAUGCAGCGACGCCGCGUGAGGGAUGACGGCCUUCGGGUUGUAAACCUCUUUCAGCAGGGAAGAAGCGAAAGUGACGGUACCUGCAGAAGAAGCGCCGGCUAACUACGUGCCAGCAGCCGCGGUAAUACGUAGGGCGCAAGCGUUGUCCGGAAUUAUUGGGCGUAAAGAGCUCGUAGGCGGCUUGUCACGUCGGGUGUGAAAGCCCGGGGCUUAACCCCGGGUCUGCAUUCGAUACGGGCUAGCUAGAGUGUGGUAGGGGAGAUCGGAAUUCCUGGUGUAGCGGUGAAAUGCGCAGAUAUCAGGAGGAACACCGGUGGCGAAGGCGGAUCUCUGGGCCAUUACUGACGCUGAGGAGCGAAAGCGUGGGGAGCGAACAGGAUU